rnacentral:tRNA from 1 species
GGUAGCGUGGCCGAGCGGUGUAAGGCGCAGAUUUAAGGCACCAGUCUUACCGAAAACGUGGGUUCGAAUUCACCGCUACCA